GGGGAAUGUAAUUAAUAGCAAUCACAAACACCUAUACGCACAUUGAUAUUACAAAUGAAGAGGCCGAUACUGGAAAAAUUAGGAAUCAAUAGAUUUCAGAUAAAAUGACGUUUAUAUUAAAGAAUAAUAUUUUGAUAAUUGCCACUGCAAGUCUUCUUGAUUUUGGAUAUUCAAAUUUGGAUCGCUUCUACUGAUGUACUGCAGGUCGUAUCUCGCAAACAAAACAAACUACUACUGAUUUCUAAGAAGUAAAAUGUAGUUGCUUGUUUAUUAUGCUUACCAGUAUAAAUCGGAAUGUACGCGUAACUCAAUAGGAAAUAACUGAGAUAUAUCAAAUCGCAUGACCAUAAAGGACAACUAUAGAACGCAUUCAAGAAUUCUACCUAUAGCAAAAUUUUUAUUUGUACAAGUUGAAAGUUGCAAUUAUAGUGCUUGCAUAGUAGUUGGGACUAUCCUGUUGAAAUUACAUCUCAUUGAGAAUAAUGAUAUUAUUGUUUAUCAUAUUUUUGAACAAAAAUUAUUUAUCACAAUGCAGUAACGACUCCCAUUCAUCACUAAGCAAUUUCCAGUUUAUUUUUUGCUGAUAUAAGAUCCGAUAAAUCUAUAAGUGUUUAAACCACAUCCAAUGGUUGUGUAAAUAGUCUGAAUGGGUUUCUUGUGAAUUAGUCUGAAAUGUAUAAGCAGAAAUUAACGUAAUCGAUGAUAAAGAAAUCCUGCGGAAGCGUCCGAAUAUCAUUUCAUAUGAAUAUCUUCCGAACAGUGUAGAAAAAAAAGCAAUGAUAAAAUGUCAGUUCAAUAACAUUUGAUAAAGGAGAGCUUUGACAUUUUUCCAGAAUAUUGUAAAAUGAUUGCGUGUGCCAUUAGCAAUAAUAAUUCACAAAAACAUAAAUACACACAUAGAGACAUAUACACUAGUAUUUGAUACAUUAUAGUUUAUGAUAAUUUGCUUUAAAACAAAAAUUUUACAUACAUAUUACGAUAAAAUGUUCGUUUCAUUAAUAGUUAAAAUUUAUUAUUGUAUUCCUUUGAACUGUUUUCUUUAUUGUGUGAAUUUUGUUUUUUUUUAAAUAUUCAAAGAUGAAUCUUGUAUUCGAACUGAAUAAUAUCGAAUUGAACUUUUUUUUUGACGUAGCCGAAUUAAGGGGACAUAGGACUUGUACUUUGUUAUGGGCAUAAAUGUAAAAUACAGAUGAAAAAGCUUAUUUAAUAUACAUACAUGUUAUUAUAAGUGUAAUAUUUAAAUGAAGAAACAAUUAAUAUUGACUAGGGACCUAACAUACAAAAUCGCUUGUAAGAUGUUAAAUUGAAAAUUAAGAAGUAAAACAAAUUUGGAUAAGUGAAGCAUCUUAUAAGGAGCUCGUAGUAAGAGUAUAUAUAAAAAGUAAUCAAAUGUAGGGGAAAUUACAUAAUAAUAUUAUCAGAGUUCUAUAAUGCUAAAUAAUUACAAAAUAAGGUUUUAAAACAAAUAAAACCGAAAUCAAUUGAAAACCCUGAAUGAGUUAGAAGCGAUUUUUUUAACUUCAAUUGUGGAGAUGACAGAUGUUGCAAUGCAAAAAUUAAGUGUCGGUCCUGUUACAUCAGCUAUGACGAUAUAGAAUUUAAGCAUCGUUACUGUUAUAUCAGCUGUAACAAAGCAAAAAUGAAGCAUGAAUAAAAUUUUUCUAUGCUCGAAAUACUAAUUUGCAUAUUUUAGCCGCAUAGAAAACUAUAUUGAAAUUUGGACUUUGCAAAUUUUUGUGUGUACAUAAAAUGGUGAACGCCAGACUUUGUAGUAAUGCGACAUAUUUGCAUAAUAUGGAAACUAGGGAUUUAUCAUUGAAUGAAUGGUGUAUUGUUGAAAAAUGCAUUUAAACCAUUUUGACGACAUGAAUAUUGGAAAAUUAAAAGCAUGGAUAUUUACAUAUUAUAUUUUUUGAAAUGAAGAAUGAAAAUUUUUCAUAUUUUAUUCUAUUUUACUAAUAGAAUUCCAUUUCAUUUG